UAAAAGGUUUUUUUUAAAGCCCCUUCAUUUUCUAAAAAAAAAAAAG
rfam:Amborella trichopoda AMTR_V1.0_contig_37093, whole genome shotgun sequence.